GAGGAUUAACUGACAGUCACUUCCACAACAUCUACCAGUCCCACUACUGAAGUUCCUUUACAGCCGGACACUUCCACAACAUCUACCAGUUCUACAUCUACAGGCCAUUUAUUGACAGUCACUUCCACAACAUCUACCAGUCCCACUACGGAAG